UGCCAGACUCCUACGGGAGGCAGCAGUGGGGAAUAUUGCACAAUGGGGGGAACCCUGAUGCAGCGACGCCGCGUGAGUGAAGAAGUAUUUCGGUAUGUAAAGCUCUAUCAGCAGGGAAGAAAAUGACGGUACCUGACUAGGAAGCCCCGGCUAACUACGUGCCAGCAGCCGCGGUAAUACGUAGGGGGCAAGCGUUAUCCGGAUUUACUGGGUGUAAAGGGAGCGUAGACGGCAGAGCAAGUCUGAAGUGAAAGCCCGCGGCCCAACUGCGGGACUGCUUUGGAAACUGUAUAGCUGGAGUGCAGGAGAGGUAAGUGGAAUUCCUAGUGUAGCGGUGAAAUGCGUAGAUAUUAGGAGGAACACCAGUGGCGAAGGCGGCUUACUGGACUGUAACUGACGUUGAGGCUCGAAAGCGUGGGGAGCAAACAGGAUUAGAUACCCCCGUA
rnacentral:rRNA from 1 species